CUGGGAAGCCGGGCAAGGAUGGCAUUGAUGGAGAAGUUGGGCCUCCGGGUCUGCCUGGGUCCCCGGGACCAAAAGGGGCCCCAGGGAAGCCAGGGAAACCAGGAGAGGCCGGGCUGCCGGGCCUGCCUG